rnacentral:misc_RNA from 1 species
AUAUUCUCCAACCAUUUUAUUUAUUGAAAUGGUGGGAUUGUUGGGAGUGCUUUGCCACCUUUGUUUUUUCAAGGUUGGCUCUCCUUAAAUGCAUUAGCAAAACCUUUUGCAAAUCAGGUUUUUGGUGUUGUAGUAAAACUUGUCAAUGCCAACCGUCUGUAAUGCAAAUUCUAAUUUGGUUUAGCUUCAGAAUAAAAUAUAUAUUUC